CCUACGGGUGGCUGCAGUAGGGAAUAUUGGACAAUGGGCGAAAGCCUGAUCCAGCCAUGCCGCGUGAUAGAUGAAGGCCCUCUGGGUUGUAAAUAUCUUUUAUCUGGGAAGAAACAAUCUUAUUCUUAAGAUCUUGACGGUACCAGAGGAAUAAGCACCGGCUAACUCCGUUCCAUCAGCCGCGGUAAUACGGAGGGUGCAAGCGUUAUCCGGAUUAACUGGUGUGUAGGCGGGCGUAUAAGGGCUGAGUGAAAGCUCCGAGCUUAACGUGGAAACUGCCAUUGAUACUGCCAGUCUUGAAUGUCGUAGAGGUAAGCGGAAUGUUGCAUGUAGCGGUGAAAUGCUUAGAUAUGUUACAGAACACCAAUUGCGAAGGCAGCUUACUAUGCGAUGAUUGACGCUGAGGCACGAAAGCGUGGGGAGCAAACAGGAUUAGAUACCCCAGUAGUC
rnacentral:rRNA from 1 species